CUAUGUCGGCGACCGGCGCACGGGUGCGUAACGCGUAUGCAACCUACCCAUUACAGGGGGAUAACACUGAGAAAUCGGUACUAAUACCCCAUAACAUCCAGGGAGGCAUCUUCUUGGGUUGAAAACUCCGGUGGUAAUGGAUGGGCAUGCGUUGUAUUAGUUAGUUGGUGGGGUAACGGCUCACCAAGACAACGAUACAUAGGGGGACUGAGAGGUUAACCCCCCACAUUGGUACUGAGACACGGACCAAACUCCUACGGGAGGCAGCAG
rnacentral:rRNA from 1 species